UGAAGAACGUAGCAAAAUGCGAUACUUGGUGUGAAUUGCAGAAUCCCGUGUACCAUCGAGUUUUUGAACGCAAGUUGCGCCCGAAGCCAUCCGGCCGAGGGCACGUCUGCCUGGGCGUCACGCAUC
rnacentral:rRNA from 1 species